AACGAACGCUGGCGGCAUGCCUAACACAUGCAAGUCGAACGAGACCUUCGGGUCUAGUGGCGCACGGGUGCGUAACGCGUGGGAACCUGCCCUUAGGUUCGGAAUAACUCCCCGAAAGGGGUGCUAAUACCGGAUAAUGUCUUCGGACCAAAGAUUUAUCGCCUUUGGCUGGGCCCGCGUUGGAUUAGCUAGUUGGUAGGGUAAAAGCAUACCAAGGCGACGAUCCAUAGCUGGUCUGAGAGGAUGAUAAGCCACACUGGGACUGCGACACGGCCCAGACUCCUACGGGAGGCAGCAGUGGGGAAUAUUGGACAAUGGGCGAAAGCGUGAUCCAGCAAUGCCGCGUGAGUGAUGAAGGCCUUAGGGUUGUAAAGCUCUUUUACCCGGGAUGAUAAUGACAGUACCGGGAGAAUAAGCUCCGGCUAACUCCGUG
rnacentral:rRNA from 1 species